GAGAAGCCAGCUCCCAUGUAAGAAGUUCAAAUACCUAGAGACUGUGAUGGUGUGCAGAGGCUCAAGCUAACCACAUGGAAAGACAUGGAGAGAUAUUCCUUGCAAACCCUCAACUACUCCAACUAUUCUAAGACAUCAAACCUGUGAGUGAAAAAGCCAUCUCAUACCUUAACAACUCUAGCAGAUGCCACAUAGUGUAGAGAUAAGCUCUCUCUGUCAUUCUCUGUCAAAACUGUAAAAUCAUAAGCUAAUAAAUAAUCACAGUUGCUUCAAGUUACUACAUUUGGGCAUAGUAUUUUAAGCCACUGUGUUUGAGAUGGUUUGUUAUACAGCAAUAGAUAACUAAAAAACAAGUCCCUUGACUUAGACUUGGCCACUCAACUUGCUUGGCCAAUGGAAUGGGGUAGAAGUGAUGGUGUGCUUAUUCCCAGCCUGGGCCUUAAAAGGCUUUGCCUGUUUCCACUUGCCUUCUUGUACCUCUGCUAUUGUCAUAAGAAAAGCAGACCCCAGGUCACCCACCGGUCUGAAGAGGAGGAUGAGAGACAAAAAAAAAAGUUGUCUGGCUGCCUCUGCUGCCUACAGAUUGAAGAAGAUCCAUCCAGCUGAGCCCAGCCUAGACCAGCUGACUUCUCCAAUAAGCAUGUAUGAAAUAAAUGCUUAUUGUUAUGUG
rnacentral:lncRNA from 1 species